AAUAAAUGUAUAAAUAAAUAGAAUAAAUCCAUGAAAGUUACAGGUUUAAAGUCGGAUCUCUCGAUGAACGGUCGGACCGAGGAGUUCAAAAUCCGAUUUCUCGGUAAACAGUACGUCCAAGACGUUCAAAAUCGGAACUAGUCGGACCAUGGAGCUCAAAGUAAGAUCAAUUUCGGAUCAGGAAGUUCAAUAUACGAACUAGUCGGACCAUGGAGCUCAAAGUACGAUCAAUUUCGGAUCAGGAGGUUCAAUAUCCGAUCGAAAUUUCGACUCGGAAACGGUUAUUUAUUUUUACACCAUUCAUUGUACUGAUUGACAAGACAUUGGCUUCAAAAAUCAAUCCACAUUCAAAAACAGUUAUUUAAAAAAUCCAUCGGAUCGGGAAAAUAAAAUGAAACAAAAUAUAUUUC